CUGGGGCCAGCGGCGGCCUAGGGAGGCUCAGCGGCUGGUGGGCAGACUCCGGAAUCUCUGGUGUCAGUAAAUAGUUCCAUCUCACUUGGAAUGACUUGCCAAGUGUUUUGAGGGAAGGACCAUCUCAAG